rnacentral:rRNA from 1 species
UGGGGAAUAUUGGACAAUGGGCGAAAGCCUGAUCCAGCCAUGCCGCGUGUGUGAAGAAGGUCUUCGGAUUGUAAAGCACUUUAAGUUGGGAGGAAGGGCAGUUACCUAAUACGUGAUUGUUUUGACGUUACCGACAGAAUAAGCACCGGCUAACUCUGUGCCAGCAGCCGCGGUAAUACAGAGGGUGCAAGCGUUAAUCGGAAUUACUGGGCGUAAAGCGCGCGUAGGUGGUUUGUUAAGUUGGAUGUGAAAUCCCCGGGCUCAACCUGGGAACUGCAUUCAAAACUGACAAGCUAGAGUAUGGUAGAGGGUGGUGGAAUUUCCUGUGUAGCGGUGAAAUGCGUAGAUAUAGGAAGGAGCACCAGUGGCGAAGGCGACCACCUGGACUGAUACUGACACUGAGGUGCGAAAGCGUGGGGAGCAAACAGGAUUAGAUACCCCUGUAGUCCCUGAGCGGGCUGGCAAGGCGCAU